rnacentral:rRNA from 1 species
ACGUGGGUGAUCUGCCCUGCACUCUGGGAUAAGCUUGGGAAACUGGGUCUAAUACCGGAUAUGACCACAGCAUGCAUGUGUUGUGGUGGAAAGAUUUAUCGGUGCAGGAUGGGCCCGCGGCCUAUCAGCUUGUUGGUGGGGUAAUGGCCUACCAAGGCGACGACGGGUAGCCGACCUGAGAGGGUGACCGGCCACACUGGGACUGAGACACGGCCCAGACUCCUACGGGAGGCAGCAGUGGGGAAUAUUGCACAAUGGGCGGAAGCCUGAUGCAGCGACGCCGCGUGAGGGAUGAAGGCCUUCGGGUUGUAAACCUCUUUCAGCAGGGACGAAGCGUGAGUGACGGUACCUGCAGAAGAAGCACCGGCUAACUACGUGCCAGCAGCCGCGGUAAUACGUAGGGUGCGAGCGUUGUCCGGAAUUACUGGGCGUAAAGAGUUCGUAGGCGGUUUGUCGCGUCGUUUGUGAAAACCCGGGGCUCAACUUCGGGCUUGCAGGCGAUACGGGCAGACUUGAGUGUUUCAGGGGAGACUGGAAUUCCUGGUGUAGCGGUGAAAUGCGCAGAUAUCAGGAGGAACACCGGUGGCGAAGGCGGGUCUCUGGGAAACAACUGACGCUGAGGAACGAAAGCGUGGGUAGCAAACAGGAUUAGAUACCCUGGUAGUCCACGCCGUAAACGGUGGGCGCUAGGUGUGGGUUCCUUCCACGGGAUCUGUGCCGUAGCUAACGCAUUAAGCGCCCCGCCUGGGGAGUACGGCCGCAAGGCUAAAACUCAAAGGAAUUGACGGGGCCCCGCACAAGCGGCGGAGCAUGUGUAUUAAUUCGAUGCAACGCGAAGAACCUUACCUGGGUUUGACAUACACCGGAAAACCGUAGAGAUACGGUCCCCCUUGUGGUCGGUGUACAGGUGGUGCAUGGCUUGUCGUCAGCUCGUGUCCUGGAGAUUGUUGGGUUAAGUCCCGCAACGAGCGCAACCCUUGUCUUAUGUUGCCAGCACGUAAUGGUGGGGACUCGUAAGAGACUGCCCGGGGUCAACUCGAAG